UGGGGAAUAUUGGACAAUGGGGGCAACCCUGAUCCAGCCAUGCCGCGUGAGUGAUGAAGGCCUUCGGGUUGUAAAGCUCUUUUGGCGGGGACGAUGAUGACGGUACCCGCAGAAUAAGCCCCGGCUAACUUCGUGCCAGCAGCCGCGGUAAGACGAAGGGGGCUAGCGUUGUUCGGAAUUACUGGGCGUAAAGCGAGUGUAGGCGGUUGCCGUAGUCAGGUGUGAAAGCCUUGAGCUCAACUCAAGAAAUGCACUUGAUACUGGGUGACUAGAGGACCGGAGAGGAUAGUGGAAUUCCCAGUGUAGUGGUGAAAUACGUAGAGAUUGGGAAGAACACCAGUGGCGAAGGCGGCUAUCUGGACGGUUACUGACGCUAAGACUCGAAAGCGUGGGGAGCAAACAGGAUUAGAUACCCUGGUAGUCCACGCCGUAAACGAUGGGUGCUAGACGUUGGCGAGCUUGCUCGUCAGUGUCGCAGCUAAACGCGUUAAGCACCCCGCCUGGGGAGUACGGCCGCAAGGUUGAAAACUCAAAAGGAAUUGACGGGGUCAUAGCUGUUUCCU
rnacentral:rRNA from 1 species